AGUUUGAUCCUGGCUCAGGACGAACGCUGGCGGUGCUGCUUCACACAUGCAAGUCGAGCGGAUGAAAACAGUAGCUUGCUACUGUUGGAUUUAGCGGCGGACGGGUGAGUAAUAUAUAGGAAUCUGCCCUAAUGCGGGGAACAACAGACCGAAAGGUCUGCUAAUGCCCCAUAGGUAUGCAGUCUUCGGAUUGUAUAUUAAAGGAGUAAUCCACUUUAGGAUGAGCCUGUAUCCGAUUAGCUUGUUGGCGGGGUAAUGGCCCACCAAGGCUACGAUCGGUAGUUGGUCUGAGAGGAUGAUCAGCCACAAUGGGACUGAGACACGGCCCAUACUCCUACGGGAGGCAGCAGUGGGGAAUUUUACACAAUGGGGGAAACCCUGAUGUAGCGACACCGCGUGAACGAAGAAGCCUUUUGGGGUGUAAAGUUCUGUCGGCUGGAACGAAAAAAAUGACGGUACCAGCAAAGGAAGCAUCGGCUAACUACGUGCCAGCAGCCGCGGUAAGACGUAGGAUGCGAGCGUUGUCCGGAUUUAUUGGGCGUAAAGAGUUCGUAGGCGGUUAUUUAAGUCUGAUGUUAAAUACUGUGGCCUAACCACAGAACUGCAUUGGAUACUGGAUGACUUGAGUGCGGUAGAGGCAAGUGGAAUUCCCAGUGUAGCGGUGAAAUGCGUAGAUAUUGGGAAGAACACCAGUGGCGUAAGCGACUUGCUGGCCCGUAACUGACGCUGAGGAACGAAAGCCAGGGGAGCGAAUGGGAUUAGAUACCCCAGUAGUCCUGGCCGUAAACGAUGGAUACUAGGCGUUGUGGGUAUCGACCUCUGCAGUGCCGCAGCUAACGCGAUAAGUAUCCCGCCUGAGUAGUACGGCCGCAAGGUUGAAACUCAAAGGAAUUGACGGGGGCCCGCACAAGCGGUGAACAUGUGGUUUAUUCGAAGCACGCGAGASUUAUCAGGGCUUUACAUCCUAAGAAUUUUUUAGAAACGGAAAAGUGUCCUUCGGGAAACUUAGAGACAGGUGGUGCAUGGCUGUCGGCAGCUCGUGUCGUGAGAUGUUGGGUUAAAUCCCGCAACGAGCGCAACCCCCGUUGUUAGUUGCCAUCAGGUAAUGCUGGGCACUCUAACGAGACUGCCGGUGACAAACCGGAGGAAGGUGGGGACGACGUCAAGUCAUCAUGCCCCUUAUGUCCUGGGCUACACACGUGUUACAAUGGAUGGGACAAUGCGAAGCAAUCCGGCGACGGGGAGCGAAUCGCCAAACCCAUUCUCAGUUCGGAUCGCAGGCUGCAACUCGCCUGCGUGAAGUCGGAAUCGCUAGUAAACGCUGAUCAGCACGCAGCGUUGAAUACGUUCCCGGGCCUUGUACACACCGCCCGUCACGUCAUGGGAGCUGGUAACGCCCGAAGUCGGUGUGCUAUCCGUAAGGAAGCAGCCGCCUGAAGGCAGUGCCGGUGACUGGGACGAAGUCGUAACAAGGUAGCCG
rnacentral:rRNA from 1 species